AUUGAACGCUGGCGGCAUGCUUUACACAUGCGAGUCGAACGGUAACAGGCCGCAAGGUGCUGACGAGUGGCGAACGGGUGAGUAAUGCAUCGGAACGUGCGCAGUCGUGGGGGAUAACGCAGCGAAAGCUGCGCUAAUACCGCAUACGAUCUAUGGUUGAAAGCGGGGGACCGUAAGGCCUCGCGCGAUUGGAGCGGCCGAUGUCAGAUUAGGUAGUUGGGGGGGUAAAGGCUCACCAAGCCAACGAUCUGUAGCUGGUCUGAGAGGACGACCAGCCACACUGGGACUGAGACACGGCCCAGACUCCUACGGGAGGAAGCAGUGGGGAAUUUUGGACAAUGGGCGAAAGCCUGAUCCAGCAAUGCCGCGUGCAGGAAGAAGGCCUUCGGGUUGUAAACUGCUUUUGUACGGAACGAAACGGUCCUGGUUAAUACCUGGGGCUAAUGACGGUACCGUAAGAAUAAGCACCGGCUAACUACGUGCCAGCCGCCGCCGUAACAC
rnacentral:rRNA from 1 species